UACGGAUGAUAAAUCACACGCAGUCCCGGGAGGCUGGGGUUUCCUGGGGCAUAUUCAGGUCACAGCCAGCUGUGCUCCUGCCUCCCCCCCCGGGUCCCCCAUAAACACACUACAUGCGCCGCUUGCAGACUAAGCAGGGGUCACUUUGCAGGUCCUAAAGGACUCACACGAUGUCCUUGAUUGUCAUUCGCCGGGAUCUCCUUCCUCCCUUGCACCCCACCUCCCUGCCCAUCUUGGGGAUAGUAAUAGAUGGGAUGGGCGAUGCAGGAUGUAUUUGUGCUGCUAGAUUGGAUAUUCAGGGCAGCAUCCUAAGCAAAGAGCCAAUAAGCUGCUAGCAAAGCACUGUGUCCUCCCUGCCCACCGGAGGGAUGCCGGAGAAGCUGCAGUGUGGUGAGGCUUCACUCCUAGCAGCCUAGUGACAUCUUAGCUCGCUCUCCUCUAUCACUUACAGCACAAACUUCAAAAAUCGAAAACAAGCUCUUCCGUGCUGUGCAGAGAGGAUGCACUGCCGUGUGUGUGCCUGCCUGUAAUAAAGAUCAGCUGACAGAUGCAGACCCUCCCAUCUCUGCUUACAGUGCACAUACCUUCUGUGUAGCAGCCUCAGUCUAUGAGGAGGAAACAGAGUGAUCCCUUCUAGUCACCGAGGCAGCAGGACUGAAGGACCCCAAAUACCUGCCAGUGACUUGGACAGUCUGUUAUUGAAGAUGGUUGUGAGCUGAAGAUCUUAAGUUCCUUCUGAACCAGUCUUUCAAUCACUGAUAGAAGACAAGAAUUUGAAAAGGUUAUCAUCAAGAC